GGAAAUGUGCCCGAUCAACAAGGAUAACUUUGAUAGAGUUAACUAUAGAGGCUAAGCCCUCUCAUUUCCU
rnacentral:tRNA from 1 species